rnacentral:rRNA from 1 species
CUGAAUUCAGCGGCGGACGGGUGAGUAAUGCCUAGGAAUCUGCCUGGUAGUGGGGGACAACGUUUCGAAAGGAACGCUAAUACCGCAUACGUCCUACGGGAGAAAGCAGGGGACCUUCGGGCCUUGCGCUAUCAGAUGAGCCUAGGUCGGAUUAGCUAGUUGGUGAGGUAAUGGCUCACCAAGGCGACGAUCCGUAACUGGUCUGAGAGGAUGAUCAGUCACACUGGAACUGAGACACGGUCCAGACUCCUACGGGAGGCAGCAGUGGGGAAUAUUGGACAAUGGGCGAAAGCCUGAUCCAGCCAUGCCGCGUGUGUGAAGAAGGUCUUCGGAUUGUAAAGCACUUUAAGUUGGGAGGAAGGGCAUUAACCUAAUACGUUAGUGUUUUGACGUUACCGACAGAAUAAGCACCGGCUAACUCUGUGCCAGCAGCCGCGGUAAUACAGAGGGUGCGAGCGUUAAUCGGAUUUACUGGGCGUAAAGCGUGCGUAGGUGGCUAAUUAAGUCAAAUGUGAAAUCCCCGAGCUUAACUUGGGA